rnacentral:rRNA from 1 species
CGGGAAGAGCUCAAAUUUAAAAUCUGGCGGUGUAUUCCGUCCGAGUUGUAAUUUGUAGAGGAUGUUUCGGAUAAGGCUUUGGUUUAAGUUUCUUGGAACAGAACGUCAUAGAGGGUGAGAAUCCCGUCUAGAACCGAUAGCCACGUUCAUGUGAAACUCCUUCGAC